CCUACGUGAGGCAGCAGUAGGGAAUUUUGCGCAAUGGGCGAAAGCCUGACGCCGCAAAGCCGCGUGAUCGAGACGCCCUUCGGGGUGUAAAGCUCUGUCAGUGGGAACGACCAUUGACGGUACCCACAGAGGAAGCCCCGGCUAACUAAGUGCCAGCAGCCGCGGUGAUACGUAGGGAGCGAGCGUUGUCCGGAAUUACUGUGUGUAAAUGGAGCGUAGGCGGGACUGCAAGUUGGGUUCCAAAUCUCCCGGCUCAACCGGUAGCCGCACUCAAAACUGCAGUUAUUGAGUGAAGGAGCGGCAGGCGGAAUUCCUAGUGUAGCGGUGAAAUGCGUAGAUAUUAGGAGGAACACCAGUGGCGAAGGCGGCCUGCUGGGCUUUUACUGACGCUGAGGCUCGAAAGUGUGGGGAGCAAACAGGAUUAGAUACCCCAGUAGUC
rnacentral:rRNA from 1 species